GAAACCCGUGUAGAUAUACAUGUCGAUCCUUUGCUACACGGGCUUGUGCAUCGGAUCUUAACGUUCAUUGCUCAGAUACCCCUCCAGGAGGAGGUCGGCAUAUCCAGUGUUUGUUGAAUAUUAUUGCUGAUCCUGUCAAAGCUGAAAGUUUAAAUCGCAACUGUCAUGUAAUGUUAUCGCAGAGGCUGGAACUUUUUAGAGAAGCAAGCAACAAUUUUAUUGCUCUCCCACAGAGCAUGGGGGAUCUCUAUGGUCAAGUUUCACAUUCACCACAGAAGAAAUAUUUUUUCCUAAUGUUGUUCUCAUUAUCGGGAUGGUGUUCCUUUCAGGUCUCUUCUUUGGCCGUGCCUCACGUCGGUCAGUGUACUCACUUUUAGUAUCAAAUCCUAAGAGCAACAAGUUAUGAUACCAAAAAAAUUUUAGGAUCUGAGGACUCAGUCAAUUUUAUUUUUUGUGGAUGCACCAAAGGCAUUGAAAAGGAGAUCAUGGAAAACACUAAAAAAAUGACAAUCAGAGGUUCAAUCAGAUGUCUAUCUUUCUUUAAAUACCUGAUAGUUUCUUUUCAAAAUCAGAGGUGCAGUUUGGCUGUCUUGUCAAAAAAUCAAGGUUUAAAGAAUAUUAUCAAGUGCAUGUGAAAGUUUUGAUUUCUUAUUCAAGUUUUGAUAUGGUGCUGCCAAGUUAGCUGUAAAAUUGGUGAGACAACGCAACCAUUGUUUCUAUGCUGUAACUUGACAUGGCGACAAUACCAAGAGUGUUUGCUGAGCCCAGAAUUGCAGAAAAUGUAUAUUUGAUUGACAUGCUUCGGUCAAAUGAGGGUUUCAAAUUUUCUGAGCCUAGGAAGAAAAAAAUCCGAGGCAGGCUAUCAAGUGCUUACAAUAUGCAAGUAAGCACGGUGUUUUAGACUUCCCCACUUUCAUGCACACAUUCCAAUUCUUACUUAUCUUAGGCUCUUUCACCCCUGAAUUAUUUAGCCCCCUGGCUCAAAUAAAAAAUCUAGAAGUUUCUCUCUGAUUUAAAUUAAAUUUCAUUUCUACAGCGUUCAUUGUUUUCCACACAAAACUUUGAUAAUAAAUGAUUUCAAUGUGGCUUAGUUAAAGUCCUGUCUGUUGUUGAAGUGUUUAACUUUUCAAAUGUCUUUGGUGAAUACUUAUGUGAUAUUUAAAACUUGUAAAUUACUUUAAGUAGCUUGGAACUUUUUUUUUUUUUUUUAUCACAAGUGUUAGUAGUACUGUCUAGUUUUUGGCUGAAGGCUUUUACUUUUCAUAUAAGCACUUGCCUUUGACUGAAAAAAAAGUAUGAAUCUUUAAUAAAGAUUAUUUCAAUGAGUUUUUACUAAGGAAGGAAAACAUUUCUAAAAUGGUGCAUUUGUUUUUUUAGAGUGUUAUGUAAUUUUGUUAAGUAGAGUUGUAGAAAAUUAAAAGAAAUUUACUUGUAUUUCUUCAAUAGUGAUGACUGAUGCGUUAAUAUUCUCUUAAUUGACGCGAUAAUUAAAAAAUAAAUGUGAGAGACACUGUGCGUUACACAAUGACGUUGAUAAUUUAGCUCUUCUUGGCUCGUUACUGAUUCACAGCCUAGCUACUUUACAGCUUUGGAUUAAUGACUAAAGUAAAAUUAAGGAGUCGUGCAAGAGAGCAAAAAUAUAGUGUAGUUUUAGACCCUACCAGAGACCGUGCUGAGCUUUUUCUUUCCAAAUCGGAAAAAACGAUGAUCUUAUACGCCGUUUCUCAUGUCCAAAUAUUGCUCUCUUAAAACAACAUGCAAGUUUAGUUUCCUCCUCACUGUUCAAAAAUCUUUGAGCAAACUAGUGCCACUACUUCUACCUAAGAUUUAUACAUCUAGAGGUAUCAUUUGCUCAAAUGAAAAGUUGAUUUAUAUCAAUCCCUCAACUCUUUAGGACUUGUGUACUUUAAAGUACUGUCUAUUGUUCUAUAAAGCGGCCUUAACAACUUUAUGACUCGUCCUCAAAAAGAAAAAAAAACAAUUCAAUUGAGAACAGAGUGAGCAACUUUUAAUAUGUUUUCACAAAAAAUUAUGAAAGCAUUUCGAAGUGCAUUUCAAGGCCAAGGCAAGUAAUUUUGCAUUUGACUAGAAGCUAAAAUACUAUUAUUCUUUCUUUCAGUGUAAAAAUUUCGAAAGAAAUUCAUAAAGUUUAUCUAGUUUUAAAUGUUUCUUGUUACUUAGUAGUUGGAUGGUAUUAAGAUUAUGUCUUUCUGAAACAAAACAACUUCCUAGAAUAAGUGUAUUUGUUUGUAUAAAUUAAAGUAUAGGACGUAAAAAAAGUGAUGGUUUUUUACCUCAACUAGUCUGUUUUAAAAAAAAAAAGUUUAUAAGCCAAUGAGCCCGAAUGCAUAAUAUCUUUGCCUCAGUCCCUGUAUCUAAAGGGAAUCUAUCCUUGGUCUCCAGGGGCGCUUCAGGGGCUCAGAGGUUUACUUUUUGUGAUUUUUUACAUGUAUUGUACAGCUUACUUGUAGUUUUAACAAAUCGGCAAAAUUAACAGAGUUCAGUGCAAAGUUUUCAUUUAGUGACCAAAGCAAUAGUUUCUACGAUUUACCGUGGCUAAAAAAUAAAAACAAUGAUCUCGAAAGAUGCAGGAUUGAAUGCAGAAAUGAGUAAAGUUAUAUGAAACAGUCAUAAAUUGACUGGCAAUGAACAGUUGCUUUAGCAAUCACAACUGCUUCUUUUACAUCUAAAAGGCGCAAAUCCCUUUUCCAUGGGAAAUUCAAAAUCUGUUGACAUCGAACAUUUUCAGGUCUAUCACACUGGUUUCCAAGCUGUAAUUUAAAUUUAAGAUCAAGAUAACUCAUCAUGCCAAAAAAGGAUCCUAAGCGGUGACUUCAACCUUGCCCUUUUGAUCCUACAUACUUCAUAUAAAUGUAUAAAUAAAAAAAGUAUAAUGUGUGUACAUGCAUUUGUAAUGUAAUGAGACUGGUUUUAAUAGGCUAAAACAAUGCAAAGUAUCGUUUUCAAGGGUAACAAUCUGCAAAAUCCCCCUAAAAAUGGUCAUUUACCGUUGAUAAAUAAAAAUUUGGCAAAAGGAACUAGAUUUACUCACAAAAGACUGUAAAUCGGCAAAUCAUGUAAGUUUACCUAUACACAACCCUUUGUCAGCCACUUUUCACCAUAUUGACAUUGUUACCUGCACGCUAAAAACUAAUGAACAGACUGAAUUCGGCAAAUGUUAGCCAAGGAUAUAUUACUAUCUAAGCUCAUCCAAUUAAUGAUUAUUUUCCCUGAGUAAGUUAUUUUUAUGAGUUUUUAAUUUUAUGUACAAUUUAGAUUUUAAUCUUGUAGCAAUGCAUUUUUGUAUUCUCACUAUCAAUUUUUUGUGUGUCAGUCUUUCUCCUUGUAUUAUAAAACUGGCAAGGGGAGGCUCAGAAGUGGCCGCCUCCAAUUUUGAUGGGGUUUGCUUGAAGAAUAGUAAAUUGACUAAAUGUUCCACCAGAGCCAAAAAAUCAUCUGAACUGUAAUAUCUUCCUAUAUGCAAGCCCUUAGAUCCGUAAACAUACCUUUGAAGUUUUGCUUGAACAAGAGGUUAAAGUAAACCACAGAUGACAUUGGGCCUCAGUCUGAUGAGUAGGUAAUCUGAUUUUUUCCAUAUACUUUAGUUUACCUAUCUACAAUUGUCACUGUCAUUAGUGAUAUCAAAGAGAAAAGGAAACAGAUGACAUCGCAACCAACAAUUAACAGCACUUCAUUUUAUAGUGGUUUACAUCAAUCCAGCUUUUUUCAAGUUCAAGGGAGAUGAAUUUAAAACCCACUGACUGCAGUGCGAUGUUUGUUUGAUGCAUGUGUACUAUGCGGUUUCAUCCUAUAGUUCAUUUUCUAAAUUUUAAAAUUUUCAGGACAAGUCAGAAGAUAAAUCGACAGUGUAAGUCCGCAAUCACGUAUCUCUGUUUGCGAUGUGGCAGACUUCCCGUCAUACUUAUUUUUUAACGGAAAACUACUCGACAGUAAUUCUUUAAAAAUGCCGUAAUAUUUCUUCUCUGUGCAAAGAAAAUUCUGCAAAAACUUCAAGGAAUGAUGUCAAUUUGUUCUCCUAUAAAAAAUAAUACAGAGGUGGAGAUUUUCAAACACCGCAAACAACGUGAUUACGGACUUAUGCUGUCAAAAUGGCAUAUUUUGUGAAGAUGCCCGCUUUUUAUGAGCUU
rnacentral:lncRNA from 1 species